CUGUACUGAUGAAUAUGUUCACCUUGAUUGUCCCGGUACACAUGUACAUGUGAUCUGUACUGAUGAACAUGUUCACCUGGAUCGUUCAGGUACAUGUAAUCUGUACUGAUGAACAUGUUCACCUGGAUCGUUCAGGUACGUGUGAUCUGUACUGAUGAACAUGUUCACCUGGAUCGUUCAGGUCGCAUGUGAUCUGUACUGAUGAACAUGUUCACCUUGAUUGUCCGGGUACACAUGUACAUGUAAUCUGUACUGAUGAACAUGUUCACCUGGAUCGUUCAGGUACAUGUGAUCUGUACUGAUGAACAUGUUCACCUGGAUCGUUCAGGUACGCAUGUGAUCUGUGACUGAUUAAAAACAAACAUUUGACAUGGAUGUUUUACAAGAACAUUAAUAUGUUUUACAUGGAUGUUUUACACAAACAUUUUACAUUGUUGUUUAUCAGAAUAAUGUCCCCUUUUUAUUUAUUUCUCAGUUUGUUGAUCGAGUGUGAUUUUAAAUAUUAAAUAUUCUAUACUUUGAAACCAAUAAA